GGGGGGAAAACCCUGACCCAGCAACGCCGCGUGAAGGAAGAAGGCCUUCGGGUUGUAAACUUCUUUUACCAGGGACGAAGGACGUGACGGUACCUGGAGAAAAAGCAACGGCUAACUACGUGCC
rnacentral:rRNA from 1 species